GAGAGGACGGUACCUUCAGUCAGUCGACCGGUGCGCAUCACAAAUAUCCACACGCAGACACGCACAGCGAAGCCAUGAGUGAGGAAACGAUCAGAUUGGUAUUUGGGGGAAUGAACAACAUAUUUUGUGUUGAAGGCAGGUUU
rnacentral:lncRNA from 1 species